rnacentral:rRNA from 1 species
UAGGGAAUCUUCGGCAAUGGACGGAAGUCUGACCGAGCAACGCCGCGUGAGUGAAGAAGGUUUUCGGAUCGUAAAGCUCUGUUGUAAGAGAAGAACGAGUGUGAGAGUGGAAAGUUCACACUGUGACGGUAGCUUACCAGAAAGGGACGGCUAACUACGUGCCAGCAGCCGCGGGUAAUACGUAGGUCCCGAGCGUUGUCCGGAUUUAUUGGGCGUAAAGCGAGCGCAGGCGGUUUGAUAAGUCUGAAGUUAAAGGCUGUGGCUCAACCAUAGUUCGCUUUGGAAACUGUCAAACUUGAGUGCAGAAGGGGAGAGUGGAAUUCCAUGUGUAGCGGUGAAAUGCGUAGAUAUAUGGAGGAACACCGGUGGCGAAAGCGGCUCUCUGGUCUGUAACUGACGCUGAGGCUCAAAAGCGUGGGGAGCGAACAGGAUUAGAUACCCUGGUAGUCCACGCCGUAAACGAUGAGUGCUAGGUGUUGGAUCCUUUCCGGGAUUCAGUGCCGCAGCUAACGCAUUAAGCACUCCGCCUGGGGAGUACGACCGCAAGGUUG